GCCAGGCAUGGUGGCGCAUGCCCGUAAUCCCAGCUACUCAGGAGGCUGAGGCAGGAGAAUUGCUUGAACCUGGGAGGCAGAGGUUGCAGUGAGCCGAGAUCACGCCACUGCACUCCAGCCUGGGCAACAGAGCAAGACUCUGUCUCAA
rnacentral:SRP_RNA from 1 species